rnacentral:rRNA from 1 species
UACGUAGGGUGCGAGCGUUGUCCGGAAUUAUUGGGCGUAAAGAGCUUGUAGGCGGUCUGUCGCGUCUGCUGUGAAAAUCCGGGGCUCAACCCCGGACUUGCAGUGGGUACGGGCAGACUAGAGUGUGGUAGGGGAGACUGGAAUUCCUGGUGUAGCGGUGAAAUGCGCAGAUAUCAGGAAGAACACCUAUGGCGAAGGCAGCUCUCUGGGACGGUACUGACGCUGAGACGCGAAAUCGUGGGGAGCGAACAGG